AAGAAGCUGGAAAUACAAAAAAAAACAAGUUUUGUUUCUAUAAAACACACCAGGAUAUUUCAUUUUUAAGCAUAAAUAACUAAAAUUGAACAAAAAAAGCAGGUUGUCUUUGAUAAAAACAUUUUUUUAAGCAUGCAUCAUAGUCUGGGUCCCUGUGCCCGUCCCCAGCCCGGCUAAAAUCCAAGGUUGUGUCAUUCCAAAGAGGGAUCUAGAUCUGCUGGGGGGGAGCCCCAAGGCACUUCUGAGCCAGUCAAGAGUCUCUCCAGGACCUGUGGGUUUGGCCUGGGGCCUCCCCUCACUGGAACACGCCCAGAAUACCUCCCCAGGGAGGUGUCCAGGAGUCAUCCAAAAGGGCGUCACCCAAACUGGAUUUUCUCGUUGUGGAGGAGCAGCUCUACUCCAAAAUCUCCUCUCUAAAAGGGUGCCCAAGUUGCAAAUAAGCAAAACAAAUUAGUCGUCCAUUUAAAUAUUAGCAUAGUUUUUAUGUUUUCCCUCCAUCUGAUCCAGAGUGAAGGAAUAGUUCAGAAAAGAAGGACUCCUAUAAUGUCAGUUUAACUAGAAAUGGCAACUGAUAUAAACUUUAAAGUAAUCUCCUAAAAAAGGAUUAUGCUUAAAAAAGUGUUUAAAUAUGAAGGUAUGCAUCAAGUACAGUUUCAAAAGAGGCAGAUAAAAAAGGACAUUGCCAGGUAUUAGUUUUUUAAUAAAUAGCUUUGACCAAUUGAAAGAAACCUUAUGUAUUUUGAGUCUACAUGCUAAAAAGUUUCACAUUCUCUUAUAAAAGCACUGUUAUAAUA